GGGAAAUGAAACACAUGCUGACUAUGCCUGCAGAGGGGAAAACAAACUGAAAUAUUUAAACUUCUCAAAUCAGUCUUCCCACUUUAAAUAUAAGUUAUAUCAUAAUCAGCCAAAAACUUCAGAGGGAGUCAAAAGAAAAGAAGAAAUGUCAUUACCUCGCCCCCAAGUUCCCUUUUAGGUGCUCCUCUGAGUUUGCCAUGUUCUUGAUUGGGCUGUCCUGAAAUCCAUGGCUUCAGAUGGAUAUACCUUCUUCCUCCAAAGUUCUCAUGCCUCUGGGCUUGGUCUCCAGACCUCUGAUCAUCCUGGCUGCUGCCCUCUGCAUGUGUUCCAAUUUGUCCACGUUCUUUUUUGAAGUUAGGCCUCCAGAACUGCAAGAAUAAUCCAGUGGUCAUAUUGGCGUAAUGGCUGCAAUUUCAUAUGAGGGUCUUCAGAGGUCACCAGUUUUAUUCAGCGGAUUUUAUCCAUAAAUUGGUCAAAGGGAUUUGAAAAGCCUCAUGUUGUGUGAGAGAUGGAAUGUGACAUUGAACAAACCUGGAGUUACAGUAUUGACUUGAUAUCCUCGAGGCAACAAGGGGAGCUCGUUGCA